CCUACGGGUGGCAGCAGUGGGGAAUAUUGCACAAUGGGCGCAAGCCUGAUGCAGCAAUGCCGCGUGUAUGAAGAAGGCCUUCGGGUUGUAAAGUACUUUCGGUGGGGAGGAAAGCAUUUAAGUUAAUACCUUUGCUCAUUGACGUUACCUACAGAAGAAGCACCGGCUAACUACGUGCCAGCAGCCGCGGUAAUACGGAGGUGGCAAGCGUUAACCGGAAUUACUGGGCGUAAAGGGAACGCAGGCGGUUUGUUAAGUCAGAUGUGAAAGCCUUGGGCUUAACCUGGGUAGUGCAUGUGAUACUGGGAAGCUUGAGUGCCGUAGAGGGGGGUAGAACUCCAUGUGUAGCGGUGAAAUGCGUAGAGAUGUGGAGGAAUACCGGUGGCGAAGGCGGCUCUCUGGAC
rnacentral:rRNA from 1 species